rnacentral:rRNA from 1 species
CGGAGGGGCUAGCGUUGUUCGGAAUUACUGGGCGUAAAGACGCGCGUAGGCGGCUUUGUAAGUUAGAGGUGAAAGCCCGGAGCUCAACUCCGGAACUGCCUUUAAGACUGCAUCGCUGAAUCAUGGAGAGGUGAGUGGAAUUCCGAGUGUAGAGGUGAAAUUCGUAGAUAUUCGGAAGAACACCAGUGGCGAAGGCGACUCACUGGACAUGUAUUGACGCUGAGGUGCGAAAGCGUGGGGGAGCAAACAGGAUU